UCCUGGGGGUUAGGACUUCAACAUAUGAAUUCGAGGGGGACACAGAGGCGGACCCAGGAUUUGAACCCAGGCUGGUGGCUCCAAUCUCCUGCAGCUCGCAGAGAAUUGCCACAGUGACUGACAGAGACGAGGCCGGAGGAGUCCCGGAGCAGGGGACACCUGGAGGGGGUGACAGGGAGCGAUGGUUGGUGUCUCCCAAGUCCAGCCCCGCCUCACGGCUCUCUAAACCCUGGGAACCCUACAUUCUCUGGGAGCUCUCAAACUCCAAACGGAUCUCCUUCCGUGGCCAGGAGUCUCCCCUGCCCUGGAGCAGAGCAACAGACCUGGGGCCAGAAGAAAAGAUUCUCCUCUCCCCCAGGCACCUUGCUGGGUCUUUCCCCCAGGGUCCGUCCAACACUGCAAGUGAGUGAGCGUUAUCUCCAAGAGGAGAAAACAGAGGCCAAGUUCUCUGGGGUCCUUCUUUUCCUCUCCCCCUUGGACCCACCCUGCCGGAGAGUUUUGUAACUGGGGGGAUCCGCGUCAGUUAUGGGCUCUGACAAUUCUACAGCCAAAAACACUGAGGCUCAGAGCAGGAAUACGAUUCAUUGCAGCCACAAAACGUAUUCUGAGUGGGACCAGGAUACCCAGCUGGAGUGUGAACCUAGGCGGAGAUACCCGCGGGCAAAAUUGUAAUGGGGCGUUGAAGGCCAGUCUGGAGUGGAUAAAUGGAUUUCAUCUCUCCCACCUGGCGGUGGAUGAGAAAUGGCCACCUGGAGUAUAUUGUAUUGAGAAUUCUCUGUGUCAUAUCGACUAGUGAUGUCUGUCCUUCAUAACAACUAGUGAUGUCUGCCCUGGGCAGAGAACAAAAAUGGGAACAUAUACACACGGUUA